rnacentral:tRNA from 1 species
GACAGAUUGGUCUAGUGAUUAAGGCACCGGGCUAGAACCCAGGAGGCUGUGAGUUCUAAUCCCACCUUAGCCA